AAAUCCCUGCAUUUGUUCAGGUGUUGCGAUAUAAAAGAACCAACACGAUACAAAUGGGAGUUUGACUCUAGGCGCCUAAUGCAUGCCCACAUUUUGUGGGAGCGUGAAUCGCUUAGGCAGGCACCCACUGUGACUGAUUGAGGUUCUUUUAAUGCCGCCUGGCAUGCGGGGUUUUU
rnacentral:other from 1 species